AGAGUUUGAUCAUGGCUCAGGAUUAACGCUGGCGGCGUGCAUGAAACAUGCAAGUCGAGCGCGGUGCGUGGCUUCGGUCACGCAUCUAGCGGCGCACGGGUGAGUAACACGUGAGCAACCUACCUUUGAGUUCGGGAUAGCCCUGAGAAAUCAGGAUUAAUACCGGAUGUGGUCACUGGGAGGCAUCUCCCGGUGAGUAAAGGCGCAAGCCGCUCAAUGAUGGGCUCGCGGCUUAUUAGCUUGUUGGUGGGGUAACGGCCUACCAAGGCGAUGAUGAGUAGCUGGUCUGAGAGGACGGUCAGCCACACUGGGACUGAGACACGGCCCAGACUCCUACGGGAGGCAGCAGUUAGGAAUUUUCCGCAAUGGGCGAAAGCCUGACGGAGCAACGCCGCGUGAGUGAUGAAGGCCCUCGGGUUGUAAAGCUCUGUCGGAGGGGAAGAACAAAUGACGGUACCCUCCAAGAAAGCCCCGGCUAACUACGUGCCAGCAGCCGCGGUAAUACGUAGGGGGCAAGCGUUAUCCGGAUUUACUGGGCGUAAAGCGCGUUAAGGCGGCCCGCUAAGUUGGUGGUGAAAUUUCAGGGCUCAACCCUGAAACUGCCUCCAAUACUGGCGGGCUUGAGUGCGAGAGAGGAAGGUGGAAUUCCCGGUGUAGUAGUGAAAUGCGUAGAUAUCGGGAGGAACACCAGUGGCGAAGGCGGCCUUCUGGCUCGCAACUGAGCUGUAGCGCGAAAGCGUGGGGAGCGAACGGGAUUAGAUACCCUAGUAGUCC
rnacentral:rRNA from 1 species